GAGGAAUAUUGGUCAAUGGACGGAAGUCUGAACCAGCCAAGUAGCGUGCAGGAUGACGGCCCUAUGGGUUGUAAACUGCUUUUGUAUGGGGAUAAAGUUAGGGACGUGUCCCUAUUUGCAGGUACCAUACGAAUAAGGACCGGCUAAUUCCGUGCCAGCAGCCGCGGUAAUACGGAAGGUCCGGGCGUUAUCCGGAUUUAUUGGGUUUAAAGGGAGCGUAGGCUGGAGAUUAAGUGUGUUGUGAAAUGUAGACGCUCAACGUCUGACUUGCAGCGCAUACUGGUUUCCUUGAGUACGCACAACGUUGGCGGAACUCGUCGUGUAGCGGUGAAAUGCUUAGAUAUGACGAAGAACUCCGAUUGCGAAGGCAGCUGACGGGAGCGCAACUGACGCUGAAGCUCGAAGGUGCGGGUAUCGAACAGGAUUAGAUACCCUGGUAGUCCGCACAGUAAACGAUGGAUGCCCGCUGUUGGUACCUGGUAUCAGCGGCUAAGCGAAAGCAUUAAGCAUCCCACCUGGGGAGUACGCCGGCAACGGUG
rnacentral:rRNA from 1 species